rnacentral:rRNA from 1 species
AUUGAACGCUGGCGGCAGGCCUAACACAUGCAAGUCGAACGAGUGGCGGACGGGUGAGUAAUGUCUGGGAACCUGCCUGAUGGAGGGGGAUAACUACUGGAAACGGUAGCUAAUACCGCAUACCAUCGGAUGUGCCCAGGUGGGAUUAGCUAGUAGGUGGGGUAAAGGCUCACCUAGGCGACGAUCCCUAGCUGGUCUGAGAGGAUGACCAGCCACACUGGAACUGAGACACGGUCCAGACUCCUACGGGAGGCAGCAGUGGGGAAUAUUGCACAAUGGGCGCAAGCCUGAUGCAGCCAUGCCGCGUGUGUGAAGAAGGCCUUCGGGUUGUAAAGUACUUGCAGCGGGGAGGCGUUACCCGCAGAAGAAGCACCGGCUAACUCCGUGCCAGCAGCCGCGGUAAUUC